AAGCUAAAUGGAGUCCGACUCCCUAUGUCAAUCCCAGCUCGCUCAGAGCGCCCUCCGUUGUCACGUGUUGCUGACUAAACUCUGAGGGUGACUUCCAGAGAUUGUGACUUCCCACCCAACACAUGACAAUCUGUGAUUGUCUGUAAACAAUCCAAUGACCUAAAGUAUUGUAACGACCCUGGCGCGGAAAUCGACUCGUGCCGCACAAGCAUGCUUUUGCGGCACAGUCGAUAGCGCGCCGGACCUCGUGCUCGAAGGUUCGAGACCUGCUCCCUGCUGUUUCAUUACACUGGUUUCAGGAGUGAUCGAACCUUGCAUCCACGACAGUGCGUGUGCUUGACCGGUGAGCGCGUUCCUGUAAAACGUAGAGUCUCAAGCUAGCGCGAGGACGCUCUUUGGAGGGAGUAGUGUAACGACACGGGUGUUUUUUGCGGCACAGUUGUUAGCGCGCCGGGGGUCCGAGACCUGCUCCCUGCUGUUUCAUUACAGCUAGAGACCAUGUUGCGGAGCCUUCGGUGGGCAAGCGGUCAUUUGAUUGAUGAAGAGAUGGCCAGCAAUCUAAUUGCUGUUGCAGAGAAGUUCCUACAACAGGCAAAUGACAUCCAACAACGGGAACCUUACGAAGAUGUAUCCUAACAAAUACCUUUGGAGGGAAGGCUGUAUCACAUCAAGGAGCAGCUUGAGUUCCUCAUAGAUUGUCAUGACCAUCAGACAAAUGGCAGAUGUUCUCAAUGUGUCGCACUCUGUGGUCAAGCGGCGCAUGAGGUAAGUUAUCGUAAUUGAAUAAAGCAAUUGCAACACGAGGGAGAUCUCUAGAUUUGAUCACAUUCCUGAUUGAUGUAUCUUUUUGUGUUAUUUUUGUUUUUAGUCAUUUUCAGCUUUUCAGGUCCUACUCACUGUUGUCAGACGCUCA
rnacentral:lncRNA from 1 species